GAACGCUGGCGGCGUGCCUAAUACCUGCAAGUCGAGCGAACAGACGAGGAGCUUGCUCCUUUGACGUUAGCGGCGGACGGGUGAGUAACACGUGGAUAACCUACCUAUAAGACUGGGAUAACUUCGGGAAACCGGAGCUAAUACCGGAUAACAUGUUGAACCGCAUGGUUCAACAGUGAAAGACGGUCUUGCUGUCACUUAUAGAUGGAUCCGCGCCGCAUUAGCUAGUUGGUAAGGUAACGGCUUACCAAGGCAACGAUGCGUAGCCGACCUGAGAGGGUGAUCGGCCACACUGGAACUGAGACACGGUCCAGACUCCUACGGGAGGCAGCAGUAGGGAAUCUUCCGCAAUGGGCGAAAGCCUGACGGAGCAACGCCGCGUGAGUGAAGAAGGUCUUCGGAUCGUAAAACUCUGUUAUUAGGGAAGAACAAAUGUGUAAGUAACUAUGCACGUCUUGACGGUACCUAAUCAGAAAGCCACGGCUAACUACGUG
rnacentral:rRNA from 1 species